rnacentral:rRNA from 1 species
ACGGAAGGCAGCAGUGGGGAAUAUUGCACAAUGGGGGAAACCCUGAUGCAGCGACGCCGCGUGAUUGAAGAAGUAUUUCGGUAUGUAAAGAUCUAUCAGCAAGGAAGAAAAUGACGGUACUUGACUAAGAAGCCCCGGCUAACUACGUGCCAGCAGCCGCGGUAAUACGUAGGGGGCAAGCGUUAUCCGGAUUUACUGGGUGUAAAGGGAGCGUAGGCGGUCUGGCAAGCCAGAAGUGAAAGCCCGGGGCUUAACCCCGGGACUGCUUUUGGAACUGUUAGACUAGAGUGUCGGAGAGGUAAGUGGAAUUCCUAGUGUAGCGGUGAAAUGCGUAGAUAUUAGGAGGAACACCAGUGGCGAAGGCGGCUUACUGGACGAUAACUGACGCUGAGGCUCGAAAGCGUGGGGAGCAAACAGGAUUAGAUACCCUGGUA